UCUUUCUCCGCCGGCGACCGGCGCACGGGUGAGUAACACGUAUGCAACCUCGCCCCUGUCAGGGGGACAACCCGCCGAAAGGCGGGCUAAACCCGCGUACAUGCCACCGGGGGCAUCCCCGGAGGCAGGAAAGGUUUCGGCCGGACAGGGAUGGGCAUGCGGCGCAUUAGGCAGUAGGCGGGGUAACGGCCCACCUAACCGACGAUGCGUAGGGGUUCUGAGAGGAAGGUCCCCCACACUGGUACUGAGACACGGACCAGACUCCUACGGAAGGCAGCAG
rnacentral:rRNA from 1 species